AGUGAACGCUGGCGGUAGGCCUAACACAUGCAAGUCGAACGGCAGCACAGUAAGAGCUUGCUCUUACGGGUGGCGAGUGGCGGACGGGUGAGGAAUACAUCGGAAUCUACUUUUUCGUGGGGGAUAACGUAGGGAAACUUACGCUAAUACAGCAUACGACCUACGGGGGAAAGCAGGGGAUCUUCGGACCUUGUGCGAUUGAAUGGGCCGAUGUCGGUUUAGCAAGCCUGCGGGGGAAAGGCCCACCAUGCCGACGAUACGUAGCUGGUCUGAGAAGAGGAUCAGCCACACUCGAACUGAGACACGGUCCAGACUCCUAAGAGAGGCAGCAGUGAGGAAUAUUGGACAAUGGGCGAAAGCCUGAUCCAGCCAUACCGCGUGGGUGAAGAAGGCCUUCAGGUUGUAAAGCCCUUUUGUUGGGAAAGAAAAGCAGCAGGUUAAUACCCCGCUGUUCUGACGGUACCCAAAGAAUAAGCACCGGCUAACUUCGUG
rnacentral:rRNA from 1 species